rnacentral:pre_miRNA from 1 species
UAUGUACUCCCUCCGAUCCAUAUUAAUUGUCAAAAUAUUACAUGUAUCUAGACGCUUUUUAAGCAUAGAUACAUCCAUAUUUGAGCAAAUUUGAGACAAUUAAUAUGGAUCGGAGGGAGUAUAAA